UGAAUUUCAGAUUCCAAACAUCCAUGAAGAGCUACAGCUGUAUACCCAAAAUGUCUAAGAACAGCACCAAGCUUCACAUAUUGUCGCCAUGGGUACCGGUAGCAGUGUCUUGAGUGCCUCCUAGGCUCCCAGCUUGCAAAUGUUGCCUGACCAGUGCUCAUCAUCGUCACCAACAAUCUCAUACAAUUGAUCCCUCAGAAACUUAAAAACUUCAUACAAUUUUGAAGAUUUGUCUAAAGAAUCAUGGAAUGCAUUCAAAUACUCUAUUAACUUACAAGGGUCUCAUCAAUAGAUUUGGAGUCCAAGACUGCUCUGUAGCCCUUGAAUAUUGGAUCCUUGAACGAGUUUUCCUCCAUAAUUUUAUUGUCCUUGUCUUCAUCUUGGAAAUACUCAUUCACGCAAGCUGCAAGUCUUAACUGAGUGGUGGAGAUCUUCACCAGACCAAUUUGGCAAAAUCAAGAGACUCAUGAGAAGGCAGAGGCCGCAGCCGAUGGCAAUGGUGUAGAGACGGUCACGGGCUAGGUAUAAUACAUUUCGUUUACGGAAACUUGAUACCGUAAUCAGAUUGAAGGUUAGUAGGAAAAUUACUACUCCAUAGUCAUAGUUCUUCUUUAUGUAUGGGAUAAAUCUCAAGUAUGUCGCUAGAAAUCCUAUCAAAGUAAAAGAGAUACUGUUCUGUAAGAAUACUGAAAACCUAUAUUACACCAGGUGAGAAAAAAAAGAAGAAAAGCGUUUCCCAA